UCUUUCUCUCGCUCCUUCUCUCUGCGGUGACUUGCACUGCUGUUGUCAUCUGUCACCUGGCGCCUCUGUUUGGAUGCACGAAAAGCGCAUUAAGUUUCAUUGCAUUAUGCUCAGGUUACAUGCCAUACAAAGUCGGUCAAUAGCUUUGAGACAGUUGCAAAACGCUUUAAUAAACCACAAGACAGCAGAACAGCAAGAAAUUUGUUUAUUCCUUGAUGAACAGCAAGCAUUUCACUUAAGUUUCAGAUGCUGCAUUACUUUAACUGACCGGUUUAAUGACUCGAACUUAAUUUGCGCCCUCAGAAAUAAAAGGCAGACAACCAACACCCAUACAUUGACAUGCAAGCCAGCAAACAAGAACAACAACAACGACAGCAGUGGAAGGAACAGCAUAGCAGAUCAAGCCGGGGCUUAAAACAGCAAGUGAAAAAGAGAGCGAAGAAAGAGAGCAACAGCAGCAACGGAGCAGCAAAAGCGACAACCACAGCGACACGUCUGGCACAAGGGGCUUAUGGCUCGGAGAGUGGGCGGCGCAGGCUGCAGAAACAGAACAGAUAUGUCUGUAUAUGUGUGUGUGUGUGUGAAAUCGCCUAAAAAAGAAGCAAAGUAAAUUGGCCGAAUAAAGACGAGGCAAAAAACGGCAACCGAAAUACAAAACAAAAUGAUGCUCAAGUAACUCAUAUUCAUAUGAAUGUGUAUGUGUUUGUGUGUGUAUGUGCAGCAGAAGCAGCAGCAGCCGCAGCCACAACGUCGACGCUGGCAGAGCCAUCGCCAUUGCCAAUAUAAACGACGAUCGAAAGAUGCAAAAUGUUCAUUCCGUUGUCGUUUCGUUUCUGCAUGUAUGUACAAUACACAUACACAUACAUAUUUCGCUGGCCAAGAAUUCGAAUAUAAAAAGUCAACAAAAUAAUGAAGCAGACGAAAGCAACGGCGAUCACGCACACAUUGACAACAUCACACGCACGCACAUAUGAAUGUGUGUGUAUGUGUAUGCAGAAUUCAACGUUGUUGUUUUUUUCUGCAACGCUGCGUGCGUCGCCAUCGCUAUUGGACGACGACGUCGCUGCCGGAGAGUAUAAAAGCUUAAACUCGCUUCAUACUCGAGUUUAUUAAAACCAAAACUGUGCGAGUGUCAAGAUCUUCAGGAGUUGUCGAGAGUUGAUAGAUCUAUGAAAACAAAAUUAAGUGCAUAACUAAAUUCUUGUGAAAAAGGCGACGCCCCAAAAAAAGCAAGUGAAAGAAAUAAGAACAAAAGCAAAAAUAUUCCUUCAAUUAAAAAACCAUUGAUAACGUUAACGAGCACAAUAAAAGAGAAAUUUUAUAUACACAUAAACUAAGCGCACGCCUCACCGACGCCACGCGACGCGCGCCAACAUCAAAAUAGCAAAGCAAAGCAAAAAAAAAAAAUCGAAAGUGUUCGUGUUCUACUGACAUGGAUUACUUCUGCCGUAACAAAAACAUCGACGCAGCCGCAACAACUACAACACUACAGCUACAAAACUGAGAGAAACUAGCGUUAGUUUUGUCUAUGACAUGUACAUGUGUAUGUAUGUGUGUAGGUAAAUCAUACAAGCCAACUGUCAAAAUUGUGAACACGCUUCGGGAGCAGCAGCCGUCGGGCAUUGGAAUCGGAAUCGGAUUCGUAUGCUUGUGAUUAUCGUAACUGUAAACAGUUGCACACACAUGGUGAUAUACACAUCCCAUCAAUUUUACGUUCUAUUUGUUUGUUUAUAUUAAAACUAUAUUUCAAUAAAAACUGUUUUCUUUUCAAUAUAUCUGAUGAUAUUGCUAUUU